AGGCAGCUUGGCUGAACAAGAGGGGCCUCUUAAGGAUAUUUUGGGGCUCCUUUUCACUGACCUGCUGUCAUCAUCGCAACAGAGAGCAGAUAAGAAAGAGAGAAUACAGACGAGACACCAAGACCUGCAUCAAGCAAUAUUCCUUUUGAUAUUUAUGUUCCUGGACCGUGCCUGCCUUUUGGAUUUAGGAUUUUGCCUGCUCCCUAUUGGAUUUGUUUGCCUGUUUGGCUCUGUCUUUGGCAAAGCCUUGGCUGAGGAAGUCCAUCACCCAUGCAGAUAUGGAAUUCCGCAGCCAAGAAUAUGAGGAAAAUUUUGUGAGCCUGCAAUCUUCCUGUCCUGAACCAGUUAACCCACUACCAUCCUGAUCCUGUCAGUCCUGAGUUGACUAGCUUCCUGCCUGAUUCCACCUCCAAUGAGUUUCCUUUCUGGAAACCUGGACCUGGCUAGCCCUCGAGAUGGUGGCACAAGAGCACCCAAGAGUCUGCCCAGCACUACAGAGGCCCAGGCCCCCAGCUCCUCGUUCACCUUUGUCACCAGCCUCCAAAGGGGUUCCUGCCCAUCCUCCACCGCUCAGCAUCCAGGCCAUCAUCCAGAGGUGCUCCGUCCUUAGGUCCUGCCUCCUGGACACCAACCCCCUGGGAUAUGUUUGCCCUCUGGGAUCAUAAAGUUUGAACUUGAACAUGAACAUACAAACACACAGGCUGUGCUCCCCCAGCAGCUGGUUUCAUUAGCUGUUACUUUUCUGUGAACACGACCACAUUUUCCUUGAAAAAUAGUGACUGCAUUUGUUUUCCCACCACUGCUGCUGCAGUUCAGAUUCUGUGGUCCUUGUCUUUUAAAGGGGAGAGACUCAGUUGUGGUAACAAGGGGGGGAUGAAGAGUAGAGGGAAUGCCAGAACUCCACAGCAAAAAUUUGUUGUUGCCAGCAGUGAUGGAAAGCAGACAAGCAGUAACUCCUGCUCAAAGUUUGGACAUAUCUUGAAUCUUGUGUGCGAGACUUAAUUCCUACGCUUAUUUCUAGGAAUGGCACAUGAUUGCAUGUUGCACAUGUCCAGAUUUACAAAAGAGUAAAGUCUGAGUAUUCCCUCAUGGUGUGUCUUGUUGAUCCAAAAAAACAUAUUCUGUGAGCAGAAUGUUUUAGGGCAUAAACUAAACAUUCAUUGUCUUUUGUACAGCUAGUUCUUAUUGAAAGGCUCACACUGGAGGAUAGAUUUCUUCUGGAUUUAUUCACUGAUCUGAAAACUAAAAUGCUAAAAGUCAUCUUUGUGGAUUCAACAACACUUGUCCACUAAUAACACAAAGUCACGAGUGAAUGUUUCCUCAGUGACCACAUUGAGAAAAGACGGAUGUUCAUCUAUGCAUCUUCAUCUAUGUAUGUUCCACUUUGCUAACUCUCAUCUGUCAUACACAAGUGUUAUCGGGGCAACAUGAUGCUGAUAGUUGCACAUUACUGGGUGUCAUAGACAUGUGACUGAAUUUCAGUGUUGCACCAGCUGUCAGCAGGUGCAGGGUAAAUUUUAACAAAACCUUUUACUGCUUUUGUAAUUAGUACUGAGUACUGAAAAGCCAGUGGAUCUCAGAGGGCAAUAAGAAAUUCACAAUGUUGAUAAUUAAAGGGAAUAAAGUUAUGUUGUGUAUUGAGAGAUCUUUAAGAAAGAUUCAUUGCCAAGUUUGAUGAUUAGAAGAAGACUGUGAUUGUGUGUAAUUAUUUCUUUAGAAUCCCAAUUUUUAAAAGGUUUUGGAAAGUCAAGUGAACAUUUUUCUUUGGAAGUCUGAGUCACUUGAGGAUCUGAUCAAUUAGAAAAAAAAGAAAUGGAAACAGCUGUCCUCCUGAGAAGCAGAUAAGCCUUUUUAAGUGUAAUCAAAAAUCAAAGGGUUAGUUACCCGUAAUGCAAUUUUCCACUUCAUUGACUUUGUCCAAAUCCUGACUGUUGCUCAAUUCCUUUCCUGCCUUUAAACAGUCGAGUGGGAUUCUCUUUCAGAGAAACUAAUCCACAAACUAAAAGAAUCAUCAUACAACAUGUCUCUUUCUGAGUCACGUGAAUGGGUUCUGUGUUAUGUAAUGUUAUGUAAUUUGUUUUGAAUUUUUAGCAAAGCUGGCUUAGUGAUAACAACCAGCUACAAUCUUGUGCUAUUAAAUGUUGUAUGUUGGCUUUAAGUGGCUUCGGGUGUUGGCUGAUCUACAACAACCUUUGUGUUUGACAAGUAUAACUGUUAAUACAAUUGUAAGCCACGUGGGACGCAGAGAGAGCAUUGUUUUGACGGGCACCUUGCAGGUAUAGAGUACACCGUGUCUACAGAGGCUGCGUAGUGAAAGCAGCACAUCAGCAGGGCAGCAGUAGAGCCCAACACACAAGUGUUGUAGUUCUACUCAUGAAACAGAACUUAAAGCGUAAAACAAGUGAAACAUGAGCCUGUGUAAACAGGUGUAUUGCUUAAAAACACAUCUGUUCUAGCAGAUGUGUGUGACAUCGAUGACAAAAACAGGGGUGAAAGGGCUUCUGUGAAGACGAGCAGUCACAUUUAAUGCUUGUACCUCAGUUACUGUAGAUAUGACAGCUUCUCUAGAUGUAUUCUUGUACAAGCUGCUUUGUUUAUCUUGUACUUAAUCAUCGCAUAAUGCCAUUAAAACAAAU